UGGCAUAUAUAUGUAUUUAUUACAGAUGAAUAAAACAGCAGACUACUAAUUCUCAUACCAUAGAUUUCCAGCUGCCUUCUAGUGAGCAGAGAUAGUCUCUGUGUUCUAAUGUUAUAAACUCACACGAAACGUGUACAUCAGGGGCUUUUUCCGUGUCUGCCAAAGCAAACUCAGCAAGUGAUUGAGGAAUAUUUCUGGCAUAAUUACGUCAAAAGAUGCUGUGGUUAUUGUUUGUGGGGUUUUCGUUUGUUGUCGUUAAACCAACAUCUCAUAGAGCAAUGCAUUGUGGGUCAGUAUGGCCAUAAAAGGGCAUUGUUUGUUUCAACCUUUAACGUCCUUAUGUUGGUAAAAAGUAGCUGUGC